rnacentral:rRNA from 1 species
GACGAACGCUGGCGGCGUGCUUAACACAUGCAAGUCGAACGGAAAGGCCCUGCUUCUGUGGGGUGCUCGAGUGGCGAACGGGUGAGUAACACGUGAGUAACCUGCCCUUGACUUUGGGAUAACUUCAGGAAACUGGGGCUAAUACCGGAUAGGAGCUCCUGCUGCAUGGUGGGGGUUGGAAAGUUUCGGCGGUUGGGGAUGGACUCGCGGCUUAUCAGCUUGUUGGUGGGGUAGUGGCUUACCAAGGCUUUGACGGGUAGCCGGCCUGAGAGGGUGACCGGCCACAUUGGGACUUAGAUACGGCCCAGACUCCUACGGGAGGCAGAAGUGGGGAAUAUUGCACAAUGGGCGGAAGCCUGAUGCAGCAACGCCGCGUGCGGGAUGACGGCCUUCGGGUUGUAAACCGCUUUCGCCUGUGACGAAGCGUGAGUGACGGUAAUGGGUAAAGAAGCACGGGCUAACUACGUG